CCCUCCUACAAAGGUGUGUCUUUGUUUCCUUGUCUUUGGGCAUGUAAAACUUGGAGGCAGAAAUAUUGUGGAUUUGGAGACAUCUGGGGCCAGCUUGCCCCCCGCAGGCUCAAGAUCAACCAUCUCACAUAA
rnacentral:snoRNA from 1 species